rnacentral:rRNA from 1 species
GAUGAACGCUAGCGGCAGGCUUAAUACAUGCAAGUCGAGGGGUAGCAAGAUUGUAGCAAUACAAUUGUUGACGACCGGCAAACGGGUGCGGAACACGUACACAACCUUCCUACAAGUGGGGAAUAGCCCAGAGAAAUUUGGAUUAAUACCCCGUAACAUAGCGAUGUGGCAUCACAUUGCUAUCAUAGCUUCGGCGCUUGUUGAUGGGUGUGCGGCUGAUUAGAUAGUUGGCGGGGUAACGGCCCACCAAGUCUACGAUCAGUAGCUGAUGUGAGAGCAUGAUCAGCCACACGGGCACUGAGACACGGGCCCGUCUCCUACGGGAGGCAGCAGUAAGGAAUAUUGGACAAUGGACGCAAGUCUGAUCCAGCCAUGCCGCGUGAAGGAUUAAGGUCCUCUGGAUUGUAAACUUCUUUUAUAAGGGACGAAAAAAGGUCUUUCUAGAUCGUCUGACGGUACCUUAUGAAUAAGCACCGGCUAACUCCGUGCCAGCCGCCGCGGUAAGAC